rnacentral:lncRNA from 1 species
UUUUACGGCCCCGAUCUCGUUUUCUACUUUUGUCUUAUCUGUGGCAUUAAUUAGGUCAUCUUAAUUACCGCCGUCUAUUCAUCAUUAUAGUCGACCUCGGAACUCGUUUAGACGCAACGGAUCGACGCGACGACCUUUUCUUCUUCCCUAUGCUUCUCAUCCUUUUUGUCUUCUCUGUCUCUUUUAUUUCUUCCUCGUCUGCUCCGACGAAACUUCUUUUUCGUCUCUUUCUUUCUUCCUCCUGUGUCUUCUCGCCUUCAUUCUCAUCUUCUUUUUCGCUUCGA